rnacentral:rRNA from 1 species
UGGGGAAUUUUGGACAAUGGGCGAAAGCCUGAUCCAGCAAUGCCGCGUGUGUGAAGAAGGCCUUCGGGUUGUAAAGCACUUUUGUCCGGAAAGAAAUCCUUGGCUCUAAUACAGUCGGGGGAUGACGGUACCGGAAGAAUAAGCACCGGCUAACUACGUGCCAGCAGCCGCGGUAAUACGUAGGGUGCAAGCGUUAAUCGGAAUUACUGGGCGUAAAGCGUGCGCAGGCGGUUUGCUAAGACCGAUGUGAAAUCCCCGGGCUCAACCUGGGAACUGCAUUGGUGACUGGCAGGCUAGAGUAUGGCAGAGGGGGGUAGAAUUCCACGUGUAGCAGUGAAAUGCGUAGAGAUGUGGAGGAAUACCGAUGGCGAAGGCAGCCCCCUGGGCCAAUACUGACGCUCAUGCACGAAAGCGUGGGGAGCAAACAGGAUUAGAUACCCUGGUAGUCCACGCCCUAAACGAUGUCAACUAGUUGUUGGGGAUUCAUUCCUUAGUAACGUAGCUAACGCGUGAAGUUGA